GGAGCAAAACACUGUUCCUUCAUUAAGAAAAGCACUCAAGGAUGUUGCCAUGGAAAAGGAUGCAGCAGUUGUUGCACGAGAGGAUCUUUCAGCUCAACUUCGUGCAAUUAAGAAACGUGUGAAGGAAGUAGAAGAGGAACAAUAUCGGGCUGAAGAGGAUGCAGCAGCACUAAGAGCAGAACUUAACUCAUUACAGCAGCAAGCAAUGUCCAGUCCUGUUAGUGGUGUA